GCGAUAUAUAUAAAGCUGAGUUUUCUCCUUGUUAGGGGUUUAACAUUACAGAGAAAGAACCCUGAGACUAGCGGUCAAUAGAGAAGAGGGAAAAAAUGAAGAUGAAGGUAUUGUGGUGGCUGAUCCUACUUUCAUACACCCUGUGUCACCGUGCGUUUGCCGAUCAGAUCUUCCCUGGUCAUGAUGAUGAUCAGGAUUCUGUGGUUAUGCCAAAUAAAAAUAGAGGGAAUUUUAUAUGUUUUUUGCCUAAGAUGGAGAAAGCCAAGAGUGGAAAGCCUGUUACUCAGCUCAAUACAAGCAACAUGAUUAUGGAAUCUAAGAAGCGGAUAAAACUGAAGACGCCUAAUGAACUGCUUGAAAUAUUGAAGGACCGAUGUUUUAUCCGACAAGAAGGUUGGUGGUCAUAUGAAUUUUGCUAUCAGAAGAAGUUGCGUCAAGUUCAUUCGGAUGGUGAUAAGGUGGUUUGGGAGUUCGUAUUAGGUGAAUACAAUGCAGAGGCCACAGCUGCUUUCAACCAGAAUAUCUCUGAAAUGAUUAGAUUACGUUAUGUUGAAGGAAAAAAUUGUUUUUAGUUAGGAACGGACUUUGGUAGAGGAUAGAAAAUAGGGACUAAGAAAUUAUACAAUUAUCAUAUUCAAUGGUUCGUGUAGGUAUCAUGCUCAUAAGUAUACAAAUGGAACCAUGUGUGACCUUACUAAUAAGCCACGUGAGACUGAGGUAUGAAGUAAUUCAAGAUCAUUGAUUUUUCUGCUCCCAUGUCUCUAAUGGCAAAUUUUUGUUUCCAUUCUAGAGCAAUGAUUAGUUCUCUUACAGAGCUAUCCACUUGCAAGUAUGCACUCAUAGUUCAAUGCCCAAUGCUUUGCAAGCACCCAUUAUUUCAAGAAGAGAGACCAGUGUGGCACACCAUUGCCUAGAGUUGUCUUCUCAUUGUCGAGAUGCCUCCACCCUAUUACCAGCUGACUCCAGCAGAGCCAAGUACUCAUUUAUGGCUUUGCCUUCAUUUGUAACUUCAAUGUCAUAGAUUGUUAAAGCGUCUCCUUUCGCUAGUUCUCCAGCCAGUGCAUCUUCGAUCUCUGCAUCCCUCUCUUCUGCUUCACUUGCAGUUGAUGGUCCUCCAACAUCAUUACUGCUGCCAGAAGCAUCAGGAAGUAUUGGUGCGGAAGAAUUGGCACUGUUAUUAGCACCAACUGUGGGGUUUGAAUCAGAUUGUGAGAGAAGUUGAUGCAUGGCUUGCUCAAUAGUACCACCAGCCUGAAGAGCAGCAACCGCUGCACACAAGUGAUGACAUCAAAACCUUGGCUACUUACCCUAAAGAAAAUCAGGUGAAGUUAUUGAAUUCUACUCAUGUUUCUCCCAGACUACCACCCUAGUUCUCAUCAAAAUGCUAAAGGAAAACGAUGGAUUUGGUGGAAAAGUGUGAAAAAGAAAGUAGAUCAGAUCCUAGACCCUAAAAAUUGUAUUGGUUGGCAUACUUACCCAACAGAGACCAAUUAUUUCAGUUUAUUAAGAUCCACAGCUUUCUUUGAGCGUGUCAUUCCAUACCUUUUUUGCUCCCUACAAAACUUUUUGUACUAAUGAGCACUACUAAGAGGUAAAUACCAUCAGAAUUACAUUCAUCAAGUCACACCCACAUUAUUUCGGUUCUUCGCCUAUUAUCCUCCUCUCUUUUAUGUGCUCUUUUUGCCUUCUCCUCAACAAGAAAAUCAACAGCACUCCCAACAUCUUGAUUGCUCAUUCGCAGUGCCCUCUUUGCAUCACGUUCUUUAAAUCCCAUGCUCAUAACAAGUGAUAAGGCUUCAUCUGGUAC